rnacentral:RNase_P_RNA from 1 species
ACAGAAUUGAGGUCUGUCGCUGCGCGCAGCAUAUAUUUCUGCGCGGAGAGGAAAGUCCGGGCAACGAAGAGCACCGCAUUUCUUAACUGGAAGCCGGCGGCGACGUCGGGGAUAAUGUGACAGAAAACAACCGCCUGCGUCUUUUGCAGGUAAGGGUGAAAAGGCGGGGUAAGAGCCCACCGGCUCCGGUGGCGACAUCGGAGGCCGCACAUCCUGCGGGUUGCAAGGCCAAAUAUACCGGCAAUUAAGGAUUGCUCGUCCAUUGCCGAGGGGUAGGCUGCUUGAGCCGACGGGCGACCGGCGGCGUAGAUAAAUGACAGACACCGGAUUCUAUCCGGCACAUAACCCGGCUUAUAUCUUUUCUGUCUUU